rnacentral:lncRNA from 1 species
AUCAUUUGACACGUAUUGGACUUGUGUUGAAAAAAUAGCCAAAGAGUGCAAAUUGCCAAUAGAUGAUGACAUCAUUGAAACUGCCAAGAACUUGCUGAAAACAGUUGUAACUUGUAGUGGUGAGUGUUAUAAUAUUCAAACUAACACGAAUAAUUCACUUUGUUACAUAUUUCUUCGGUUUUUAGUGUGUGGUUUUUUUCUGAAUUGGGAUUGUAACAAAAUGUUGACUGCUGUAUUUUUGAUAUUUUAACCUAUUAUGUCUAUUUGAUUUGUUCACGCAUCGUUGUCAAUGUAGUUAUUCCUGUUUUAUCCAGACAAACAACAAAUAAAGGCGCCAAAUUUAUAAACAUCUAAACAGAACUUUUAAUACAUUAACAGAUUUUGAAAAGAUAUGACUAUUGUUAAAUAGUAUCAAAAAGAUGCCUAUCAUAGCGAAGAAACGCAUUUAUAUUUUAAUACAGCACCUAGCAAAAAAGACUUUUAGAUAGAUAAACUUUUAAAAAUGCACCCUUGCUAAGUAAGUCAUAAAAAAUCCCGAAACAUCGUUAGUUAAAAGAAAUAUAAUUGUAUUCAAUAGGCAUUUAUUAUUUACUACUCUUUAACAACGGUGUCAAGUCUUGAGGUUUUAGUAUAUAUGUUCGAUAUGGGAAUCAUUGCAUUUGUUGAACGUUUUAUCUAAAUGUUUAUAUAUUUAUAUAAACAAAAUAUAUUGGCGCCUCAAGUUUGAAAAAUAUCACCCACUGCGAUCGAUCUGCAGCUGUCAACAAUACUUAUGCAAAUUGUAGACAUAUUUCAAUUGAAAUACAGCAUACGCAUGAUUUGAUUCUGGGUUACAGAGUUUCAAUUGCAUAUAAAUAACAUUCUUAUAAGUUAAUGUAUGAUGUCUCCAAUACAGAAUUGUCGUACUUAGAUGCCAAAGUGUACAAAGGGAUGGUCUAAAUUAAGUGGUGUCAUAGAUAUCAGGUUACAUGUCAAUCUACUGAAACAUUUCAGUAUCUUUUAAUUACUAAUGCACAGCCUAUAUAUACUUUUAAAUUAUCAUAUCAGGUGAAACAAUUCGUCACAUAGAAAUAAAAGCAACGAACUUCAUCUACACAAACAUCGUAUGACUUUGGAAAGUAGAAUAUCAUUUGAAGGUUAUGAUAAUUCACAAACUGCGAAAGACAUAAAAUAUGCGAAACAAAAUGUUAAAUGUUGCAGUACUCUGUCAGAUAUUUUUGAAAAAAAAUGGAAUUCCAAGUAUACUCAGUCUUGUAACUAUAUAUAAACUUAUGGUUAUAAAUCUUAACUGAGCCAUUCAGAAACAUUGACUGAUUUUGUAAAGAGAUGCAUAUUUAUAAAAAUAGUAUUCAAAAAGAUGCUUAUAAAAGCAUAUUACCGCAAUGAAAACUUAAAAGAGCACCUAUCAAAAACAAGACUUUUAAAUAGGGAGACUUUUCAGAAGAGACCCGUGCUAUAUAAGACAUAGAACUUAGCUAAAAAAAUCCUGAAACACUGUUAGCUAAAAUUUUAUGUUAUCACAGUACAAAUGUAUGAAUAUAACAGCUGACUUUUCUUUUUUCAGGUACAUGUAGCAGCACUCAAUGCUCUAUAACUUUGAUGCUUUUUUCCUGUGGAUUUCUUAUUGUACGAUUUUUGGGAAAGUCGACCUAAUGUGAGAAUAAGAACGCUGUCCGUAUAGAAUUGUUGCUUCUUUACCUACACUUGUUUUAUCCAGAAAUAUCUAUGCAUCAAUUCAUGUAUACAAACUUUAAAGAGACUUAAAAAAAGCUAAUUUUGCUGUGUAACUGUUGUCUUUCCCUGACUGAUAAUGGUGUUACAGAACUAUUCAUAUGACCACUAAUUUGCCAAAAUUCUAGUAUUAU